rnacentral:rRNA from 1 species
CCUACGGGUGGCAGCAGUGGGGAAUAUUGUACAAUGGGGGAAACCCUGAUGCAGCAACGCCGCGUGGGUGAAGGAGCGUUUCGGCGCGUAAAGCCCUGUCAGCGGGGAAGAAGAAAGACGGUACCCGACCAAGAAGCCCCGGCUAACUACGUGCCAGCAGCCGCGGUAAUACGUAGGGGGCGAGCGUUAUCCGGAAUUACUGGGUGUAAAGGGAGCGUAGACGGCGAGGGAAGCCUGAAGUGGAAGCCCGCGGCCCAACCCUGGGACUGCUUUGGAAACUGUGGAGCUAGAGUGCUGGAGAGGUAAGUGGAAUUCCUAGUGUAGCGGUGAAAUGCGUAGAUAUUAGGAGGAACACCAGUGGCGAAGGCGGCUUACUGGACAGUAACUGACGUUGAGGCUCGAAAGCGUGGGGAGCAAACAGGAUUAGAUACCCCGGUAGUC